UCUAUGGACUUGGCCUUUCUUCAAAAGAAACAAGAAUAAAGCAAAUGAAGUAGUAGCACAGUGAUGCACUAACCUUAGCCAAUGUUAGAACUUCUUCAGCUAAAUGUCUUACAUAUCCAUCACGAAAUGGUGUCUUAAAACCAGUCACCGGUACCUUCCGUCUUAGCAUCUCUCGUUCCUCCUUUGUCCAAUCAAAAGUCAUGUCCAAAAUGCUUUGUAAUGAUUCCUCAUCGUAUAACAGCCCAACC